CCUACGGGGGGCAGCAGUGAGGAAUAUUGGUCAAUGGACGAGAGUCUGAACCAGCCAAGUAGCGUGAAGGAUGACUGCCCUAUGGGUUGUAAACUUCUUUUAUAUGGGAAUAAAACGUUCCACGUGUGGGAUUUUGUAUGUACCGUAUGAAUAAGGAUCGGCUAACUCCGUGCCAGCAGCCGCGGUAAUACGGAGGAUCCGAGCGUUAUCCGGAUUUAUUGGGUUUAAAGGGAGCGUAGGUGGAUUGUUAAGUCAGUUGUGAAAGUUUGCGGCUCAACCGUAAAAUUGCAGUUGAAACUGGCAGUCUUGAGUACAGUAGAGGUGGGCGGAAUUCGUGGUGUAGCGGUGAAAUGCUUAGAUAUCACGAAGAACUCCGAUUGCGAAGGCAGUUCACUGGACUGCAACUGACACUGAGGCUCGAAAGUGUGGGUAUCAAACAGGAUUAGAUACCCGAGUAGUC
rnacentral:rRNA from 1 species